AGAGUUUGAUCCUGGCUCAGGAUGAACGCUGGCGGCGUGCCUAAUACAUGCAAGUCGAGCGAAUGGAUUAAGAGCUUGCUCUUAUGAAGUUAGCGGCGGACGGGUGAGUAACACGUGGGUAACCUGCCCAUAAGACUGGGAUAACUCCGGGAAACCGGGGCUAAUACCGGAUAACAUUUUGAACCGCAUGGUUCGAAAUUGAAAGGCGGCUUCGGCUGUCACUUAUGGAUGGACCCGCGUCGCAUUAGCUAGUUGGUGAGGUAACGGCUCACCAAGGCAACGAUGCGUAGCCGACCUGAGAGGGUGAUCGGCCACACUGG
rnacentral:rRNA from 1 species